GGAACUGUAAGACAGGUGCUGCAUGGCUGUCGUCAGCUCGUGUUGUGAAAUGUUGGGUUAAGUCCCGUAACGAGCGCAACCCUUGUCCUUAUUUGCCAGCACGUAAUGGUGGGAACUCUAAGGAGACUGCCGGUGACAAACCGGAGGAAGGUGGGGACGACGUCAAGUCAUCAUGGCCCUUACGGGUAGGGCUACACACGUGCUACAAUGGCCGGUACAAAGGGCGGCGAGCUCGCGAGAGUCAGCGAAUCCCUUAAAGCCGGUCUCAGUCCGGAUCGGAGUCUGCAACUCGACUCCGUGAAGUCGGAAUCGCUAGUAAUCGUGAAUCAGAAUGUCACGGUGAAUACGUUCCCGGGCCUU
rnacentral:rRNA from 1 species